rnacentral:rRNA from 1 species
AGAGUUUGAUCCUGGCUCAGGACGAACGCUGGCGGCGUGCUUAACACAUGCAAGUCGAACGGUGAUGAUCAAGCUUGCUUGGUCUGAUCAGUGGCGAACGGGUGAGUAACACGUGAGUAACCUGCCCCAGACUCUGGGAUAACCCCGGGAAACCGGAGCUAAUACCGGAUAUGACACCAAUCCGCAUGGGUAUGGUGUGGAAAGUUUUUCGGUCUGGGAUGGACUCGCGGCCUAUCAGCUUGUUGGUGAGGUAGUGGCUCACCAAGGCGACGACGGGUAGCCGGCCUGAGAGGGCGACCGGCCACACUGGGACUGAGACACGGCCCAGACUCCUACGGGAGGCAGCAGUGGGGAAUAUUGCACAAUGGGCGAAAGCCUGAUGCAGCGACGCCGCGUGAGGGAUGACGGCCUUCGGGUUGUAAACCUCUUUCAGUAGGGAAGAAGCGAAAGUGACGGUACCUGCAGAAGAAGCACCGGCUAACUACGUGCCAGCAGCCGCGGUAAUACGUAGGGUGCGAGCGUUGUCCGGAAUUAUUGGGCGUAAAGAGCUUGUAGGUGGUUUGUCGCGUCUGCUGUGAAAAUCCGAGGCUCAACCUCGGACUUGCAGUGGGUACGGGCAGACUAGAGUGUGGUAGGGGAGACUGGAAUUCCUGGUGUAGCGGUGGAAUGCGCAGAUAUCAGGAGGAACACCGAUGGCGAAGGCAGGUCUCUGGGCCAUUACUGACACUGAGAAGCGAAAGCAUGGGGAGCGAACAGGAUUAGAUACCCUGGUAGUCCAUGCCGUAAACGUUGGGAACUAGGUGUGGGUCUCAUUCCACGAGAUCCGUGCCGCAGCUAACGCAUUAAGUUCCCCGCCUGGGGAGUACGGCCGCAAGGCUAAAACUUAAAGGAAUUGACGG